ensembl:lncRNA
GUGACACGGAGAACUGGUGUGGCUGAUGGUGAGAUGGAGAACUGGUGUGGCUGAUGGUGAGAUGGAGAACUGGUGUGGCUGAUGGUGAGAUGGAGAACUGGUGUGGCUGAUGGUGAGAUGGAGAACUGGUGUGGCUGAUGGUGAGAUGGAGAACUGGUGUGGCUGAUGGUGAGAUGGAGAACUGGUGUGGCUGAUGGUGAGAUGGAGAACUGGUGUGGCUGAUGGUGAGAUGGAGAACUGGUGUGGCUGGAGGUGAGACGGAGAACUGGUGUGGCUGAUGGUGAGAUGGAGAACUGGUGUGGCUGGAGGUGAGAUGGAGAACUGGUGUGGCUGAUGGUGAGAUGGAGAACUGGUGUGGCUGAUGGUGAGAUGGAGAACUGGUGUGGCUGGAGGUAGGACGGAGAACUGGUGUGGCUGGUGGGGAGACAGAGAACUGGUGUGGCUGGAGGUGAGACUGGUGUGGCUGGAGGUGAGACUGAACUGGUGUGGCUGGAGGUGAGACGGAGAACUGGUGUGGCUGGAGGUGAGACGGAGAACUGGUGUGGCUGGAGGUGAGAAGGAGAACUGGUGUGGCUGGAGGUGAGACAGAAAACUGGUGUGGCUGGUGGGGAGACAGAACUGGUGUGGCUGGAGGUGAGACUGGUGUGGCUGGAGGUGAGACGGAGAACUGGUGUGGCUGGAGGUGAGACGGAUAGCUGGUGUGGCUGGAGGUGAGACGGAGAACUGGUGUGGCUGGAGGUGAGACGGAGACCUGGUGUGGCUGGAGGUGAGAUGGAGAACUGGUGUGGCUGGAGGUGAGAGACGGAGAACUGGUGUGGCUGGUGGGGAGACAGAGAACUGGUGUGGCUGGAGGUGAGACGGAGAACUGGUGUCUAUUAUCUAUACUUUACCCCUACCUACAGUAUACUGCUACUGUCUAUUAUAUAUCCUUUACCCCAUGAUACACAUGGGAAACUGUCAAGCGUGGAAAAACC